rnacentral:rRNA from 1 species
GCCUAACACAUGCAAGUCGAACGCAGUAGCAAUACUGAGUGGCAAACGGGUGAGUAUAAUGUGGGAAUCUGCCUUUUGGUUUGGAAUAACACGGGGAAACUUGUGCUAAUACCUCAUAAGUCUUUACGGAGAAAGCUUUAUGCGCCGAAGGAUGAGCCUGCACUUGAUUAGUUUGUUGGUGGGGUAAUGGCCUACCAAGACUUUGAUCUAUAGCUGAUCUGAGAGGAUGAUCAGCCACAUUGGGACUGAGACACGGCCCAAACUCCUACGGGAGGCAGCAGUAGGGAAUCUUGCACAAUGGGGGAAACCCUGAUGCAGCGAUGCCGCGUGAGUGAAGAAGGCCUUUGGGUUGUAAAGCUCUUUCGUCGGGGAAGAAAAUGACUGUACCCGAAUAAGAAGGUCCG